rnacentral:lncRNA from 1 species
CACGAGGCUCUGGGCUCUGCCCACCUUCUGCCGCUUUCCUGGGUUCGUGGCCUCCUCCUCCGUCGUGCCUGGGAGCCGUCAUUCCUCGGCCAGCAAGCCCAGGGAGGGGUCCCCGACACCAGAGCCCCGCAGAUGAGGUUGGAAGGAAGGCUGAUGUAGAGAAAUAACAACACGAUUCAGGAUCAUCAUUGAGAUUUUGGAGGAUUGAACAAAAGCAUCUGGUCGGGAACGUCGUUAUGAAGGAAGAGACAAGACCCUGCCUGAGGAGGCACAUAUGAGAAUAACAGAAAGGAGCCUGUGGAUAAAUACAGAAGAGCAGCUGAGGAGGUAGGUAGCAGCCAGAGCUGCGGCUGGACCUGGCAUGGCUCCU